AAAAAAAGCCCGGACGACUGUUCGGGCUUGUCUUUUUAUAUGUUGGAAAAUCAGUGGCAAUGCAAUGGCCCAACAGAAA
rnacentral:antisense_RNA from 3 species